rnacentral:rRNA from 1 species
AACGAACGCUGGAGGCGUGCUUAACACAUGCAAGUCGAACGAGAAAGCCCUUCGGGGUGAGUAUAGUGGCGAACGGGUGAGUAAUGCAUAGGAACGUACCGAUUAGUGGGGAAUAACGACGGGAAACUGUCGCUAAUACCGCAUGUGAUGUUAAUUAAAGGUGGCCUCUUCUUGAAAGCUACCGCUAAUCGAUCGGCCUAUGUCCCAUUAGCUUGUUGGUAGGGUAAUGGCCUACCAAGGCUAUGAUGGGUAGCUGGUCUGAGAGGAUGAUCAGCCACACUGGGACUGAGACACGGCCCAG